UACGGGGGGGGUAAGCGUUGUUCGGAAUUACUGGGCGUAAAGGGCUCGUAGGCGGCCAACUAAGUCAUACGUGAAAUCCCUCAGCUUAACUGGGGAACUGCGUGUGAUACUGGAUGGCUUGGAUUUGGGAGAGGGAUGCGGAAUUCCAGGUGUAGCGGUGAAAUGCGUAGAUAUCGGGAGGAACACCAGUGGCGAAGGCGGCUGUCUGGGCCAGUUCUGACGCUGAGGCGCGAAAGCGUGGGGAGCAAACAGG
rnacentral:rRNA from 1 species